rnacentral:rRNA from 1 species
UACAGAGGGUGCGAGCGUUACUCGGAAUUACUGGGCGCAAAGCGCGCGUAGGCGGCUUUGCAAGUCGGGUGUGAAAUCCCCAGGCUUAACCUGGGAACUGCAUUCGAGACUGCAUUGCUAGAGUAUGGGAGAGGGAAGUGGAAUUUCCGGUGUAGCGGUGAAAUGCGUAGAUAUCGGAAGGAACAUCAGUGGCGAAAGCGACUUCCUGGACCAAUACUGACGCUCAUGUGCGAAAGCGUGGGGAGCAAACAGG